rnacentral:rRNA from 1 species
GAUGAACGCUGGCGGCAGGUCUGACACAUGCAAGUCGAACGAGAAGCCGGUGCUUGCACCGGUGGAGAGUGGCGAACGGCUGAGUAACACGUAGGAACCUACCCCUUGGACCGGGAUAACAGAGGGAAACUUCUGCUAAUACCGGAUAUAUUCUUCGGAAGGAAAUGGUCCGCCGCCGAGGGAGGGGCCUGCGGCGUAUUAGCUUGAUGGUGAGGUAACGGCUCACCAUGGCUAUGAUACGUAGCUGGUCUGAGAGGACGAUCAGCCAGACUGGGACUGCGACACGGCCCAGACUCCUACGGGUGGCAG